UACGGAAGGCAGCAGUGGGGAAUAUUGCAUAAUGGGCGAAAGCCUGAUGCAGCUAUGCCGCGUGUAUGAAGAAGGCCUUAGGGUUGUAAAGUACUUUCAUCGGGGAGGAAAAACAAAACUAAUAAUUUUAUUUCUUGACGUUACCCGAAAAAGAAGCACCGGCUAACUCCGUGCCAGCAGCCGCGGUAAUACGGAGGGUGCUAGCGUUAAUCAGAAUUACUGGGCGUAAAGAGCACGUAGGUGGUUUUUUUAAGUCAGAUGUGAAAUCCCUGGGCUUAACCUAGGAACUGCAUUUUGAAACUGAAAUACUAGAGUAUCGUAGAGGGAGGUAGAAUUCUAGGUGUAGCGGUGAAAUGCGUAGAUAUCUGGAGGAAUACCUGUGGCGAAAGCGGCCUCCUAAACGAAUACUGACACUGAGGUGCGAAAGCGUGGGGAGCAAACGAGGGAUUAGAUACC
rnacentral:rRNA from 1 species